AUAACCCUCAAGCAAUGCUUGGUACUGGGUGCAGCCCCCGCGGCUCGCCCGAAAGACAGUGGUGGCUCAACGAGACUCCGAGCGUAGCAAGAUUUACAUAUCCCGCCACGGUAGCCUCUCGAUGAACCCGACCAUCCAAAACACAAGUUCUCACUUCCACGAUUGACCUCGGAUCAGGUAGGGAUACCCGCUGAACUUAA
rnacentral:misc_RNA from 1 species